rnacentral:tRNA from 1 species
GCCUCUGUAAUUUAAUGGAUAGAAUAUCGGUUUCCGGAACCGACGAUGUGGGUUCGAUUCCCGCCAGAGGCG